GCCAGGCAUCGUAUCAUGGGCCUAUAGUCCCAGCUACUCAGGAGGCUGAGGCUAGAGGAUCACUUGAGCCCAGGUGUACUGGGCUGUAGUGUGCUAUGCCAAUUGGGUAAGUUUGGCUAUACUAAGUUUGGCAUCCAUAUGGCAGCCUGGGAGUGGAGGACCAUCAGGGGUGAACCAGCCCUGGUUAGAAACACAGCAGGCCAGAACUCCUGUGCUGAUCAGUGGUGGGAUCAUGCCUGUGUGUGGCCACUGCACUUUAUACUGGGCAACAUAAUGACAUUCCAUCUCU
rnacentral:SRP_RNA from 1 species